UUCCGGUUGAUCCUGCCGGACCCGACUGCUAUCAGAGUGAGAUUAAGCCAUGCGAGUUAACGUAGCAAUACGUGGCGCACGGCUCAGUAACACGUAGUCAACAUGCCCAGAGGACGUGGAUAACCUCGGGAAACUGAGUCUAAACCGCGAUAAGUGAGGAUUUCUGGAAUGGUUCCUGACUAAAAUCUAUAUGGCCUCUGGAUUGGACUGCGGCCGAUCAGGCUGUUGGUGAGGUAAUGGCCCACCAAACCUGUAACCGGUACGGGCUCUGAGAGGAGGAGCCCGGAGAUGGGCACUGAGACAAGGGCCCAGGCCCUAUGGGGCGCGGCAGGCGCGAAACCUCUGCAAUAGGCGAAAGCCUGACAGGGUUACUCUGAGUGACUUUCGCUAAGAAAGUCUUUUGGCACCUCUAAAAAGGGUGCAGAAUAAGGGUGGGGAAGUCUGGUGUCAGCGGCGCGGUAAUACCAGCCACCCCGGAGUGGUCGGGGACAAUUAUUGGGGCCUAAAGCAUCCGUAGCCGGUUCUGAAAGUCCUCGUUAAAUCCAGCCGGCUAACAAAAUGGGCGCGGGGAAACUACAAGCUGGAGGCGGGGAAGCAGGCGUACUCCGUGGGUAGGGGUAAAAUCGCUGAUCCUUGAAAACACCAUGGCAAAGGGUUGCAAAAGCUCAACGGUGAGGAUAAAACUGGGACAACCGAUAUACCGGUAUCACCUUACAUGAACUGGAGGUGCUCCCCCCCCCCGCCCGAACCGAAUCCCGGGGAAUCGCCAACAACAUAAAAUGGGGGACCAAGGUAUCUGUUAUUACACGGAUAUAUUCGGCGUGCCAUAGAACCAGCGG
rnacentral:rRNA from 1 species